ACACUCCUACGGGAGGCAGCAGUGGGGAAUUUUGGACAAUGGGCGAAAGCCUGAUCCAGCAAUGCCGCGUGAGUGAAGAAGGCCUUCGGGUUGUAAAGCUCUUUUGUCAGGGAAGAAACGGUGAGAGCUAAUAUCUCUUGCUAAUGACGGUACCUGAAGAAUAAGCACCGGCUAACUACGUGCCAGCAGCCGCGGUAAUACGUAGGGUGCAAGCGUUAAUCGGAAUUACUGGGCGUAAAGCGUGCGCAGGCGGUUUUGUAAGUCUGAUGUGAAAUCCCCGGGCUCAACCUGGGAAUUGCAUUGGAGACUGAAAGGCUAGAAUCUGGCAGAGGGGGGUAGAAUUCCACGUGUAGCAGUGAAAUGCGUAGAUAUGUGGAGGAACACCGAUGGCGAAGGCAGCCCCCUGGGUCAAGAUUGACGCUCAUGCACGAAAGCGUGGGGAGCAAACAGGAUUAGAAACCCCAGUAGUCCCAUG
rnacentral:rRNA from 1 species